rnacentral:rRNA from 1 species
AACCUGGUUGAUCCUGCCAGUAGUCAUAUGCUUGUCUCAAAGAUUAAGCCAUGCAUGUCUAAGUACAAGCCUCACUAAGGUGAAACCGCGAAUGGCUCAUUAAAUCACACCUCAUGUACUGGAUAGUCUCAGUUACUUGGAUAACUGCGGUAAUUCUGGAGCUAAUACAUGCAAACGAUGCCCGACUCACGGAGGGCUGCUUUUAUUAGAUCAAAACCAAACCGCUUCGGCGGUCUCUUUGGUGAUUCUGAAUAACUUUGGGCUGAUCGCACGGUCAUGCACCGGCGACGUAUCCUUCCAAGGUGUGCCCUAUCAACUGUCGACUGUGGCAUAGACGCCCACAGUGGUUUUGACGGGUAACGGGGAAUUAGGGUUCGAUUCCGGAGAGGGAGCCUGAGAAACGGCUACCACUUCUACGGAAGGCAGCAGGCACGCAAAUUACCCACUGGCCGAAGGCCGAGGUAGUGACGAAAAAUAACGAUACCGGACUCAUCCGAGGCCCGGUAAUCGGAAUGAGUACACUUUAAAUCCUUUAACGAGGAACAAUUGGAGGGCAAGUCUGGUGCCAGCAGCCGCGGUAAUUCCAGCUCCAAUAGCGUAUAUUAAAGUUGUUGCGGUUAAAAAGCUCGUAGUUGGAUCUCGGCAGGUAGGGGGCGGUUCGUUUCUGACGGCACUGCCCCAUUUACCUGUGUUUAUGCAAGAGGUCUCAAGGUGGCUUUAAUCGGCUGUCUUGGAACGCUUGCAGUUUUACUUUGAAAAAAUUAGAGUGCUCAAAGCAGGCUACAAAGCUUGAAUAUUUGUGCAUGGAAUAAUGGAAUAGGAAGUCGUUUCUAUUUUUUUGGUUUUCGGAAAUUGACUUAAUGAUUAAUAGGGACAGCCGGGGGCAUUAGUACUCAGACGACAGAGGUGAAAUUCUUGGACCGUUUGAGGACUAACUACUGCGAAAGCAUUUGCCAAGAGUGUUUUCAUUAAUCAAGAACGAAAGUUAGAGGUUCGAAGGCGAUCAGAUACCGCCCUAGUUCUAACCAUAAACAAUGCUGACUAGCGAUCCGUAGCUGUUUUUCUAUGUAGGCUCUACGGGAAGCUUCCGGGAAACCAAAGUUUUUGAGUUCCGGGGGAAGUAUGGUUGCAAAGCUGAAACUUAAAGGAAUUGACGGAAGGGCACCACCAGGAGUGGAGCCUGCGGCUUAAUUUGACUCAACACGGGAAAUCUCACCAGGCCCGGACACUGGAAGGAUUGACAGAUUGAGAGCUCUUUCUCGAUUCAGUGGGUGGUGGUGCAUGGCCGUUCUUAGUUGGUGGAGUGAUUUGUCUGGUUAAUUCCGAUAACGAACGAGACCCCUGCCUGCUAAAUAGUUUUGCUAAUGAUUUUUCAUUGGUAUUAUAACUUCUUAGAGGGACGUGCGUUCUAUUAAACGCAGGAAGAUAGGGGCAAUAACAGGUCUGUGAUGCCCUUAGAUGUUCUGGGCUGCACACGCGCUACACUGAAUGGAUCAGCGUGUUUUCCCUUCCCGAGAGGGACGGGUAACCCGCUGAACCCCGUUCGUGGUAGGGAUCGGAGCUUGCAAUUAUUCUCUGUGAACCAGGAAUUCCCAGUAAGCGCAAGUCAUAAGCUUGCGUUGAUUACGUCCCUGCCCUUUGUACACACCGCCCGUCGCUACUACCGAUUGAACGUUUUAGUGAGAAAUCUGGAUUCGACCUCUGUGGGUUCAUUCCCACAGUGUUGUCGGAGAAGUUUUUCAAACUUGAGCGUUUAGAGGAAGUAAAAGUCGUAACAAGGUAGCUGUAGGUGAACCUGCAGAAGGAUC